UCCGGUUUGUCACCGGCAGUCAUCUUAGAGUGCCCAACUCAAUGCUGGCAACUAAGAUCAAGGGUUGCGCUCGUUGCGGGACUUAACCCAACAUCUCACGACACGAGCUGACGACAACCAUGCACCACCUGUCUCCGCUGCCCUUGCGGGACGGCCUAUCUCUAAGCCCGUCAGCGGGAUGUCAAGCCCUGGUAAGGUUCUUCGCGUUGCUUCGAAUUAAACCACAUGCUCCACUGCUUGUGCGGGCCCCCGUCAAUUCCUUUGAGUUUCGGUCUUGCGACCGUACUCCCCAGGCGGAGUGUUUCACGCGUUAGCUGGGCCCCUGAUCCACGUAGACCAAGGGCGAACACUCAUCGUUUACGGCAUGGACUAC
rnacentral:misc_RNA from 1 species